rnacentral:rRNA from 1 species
AUGGUCAUGGGAGCCAGCGGCUCCAAGCUCGAGAAGGCUCUCGGCGACCAGUUCCCUGAAGGCGAGCGCUACUUCGGACUCGAGAACUUCGGCAACACCUGCUACUGCAACAGUGUACUCCAGGCACUUUAUUUUUGCACUCCAUUCAGGGAGCAGCUACUGGAAUAUUAUAUGAAUAAUAAAAAUCCUGGAGAUGCAGAGGAAAAUCUUUUGACUUGUUUGGCGGAUCUUUUCAUGCAGGUAAGCCAAUCAAAGAAAAAGACAGGCGUUAUUGCUCCAAAACGUUUUGUCCAAAGAGUGAAGAAACAAAAUGAAUUAUUUCGCAGCUACAUGCACCAGGAUGCUCAUGAGUUCUUAAAUUUUCUGUUGAAUGAGCUUGUUGAUAUUCUGGAGAAAGAGUCCAGUGCUGCGAAGGACUCCCCCCAAUCAUCAUCUCCUGAAAAAGUUCCAAAUGGGGCAGUUCAACCUUUGGCCAAUGGAGUUAAAAAAGAACCACCUGUUACCUUGGUCCAUAAGAAUUUCCAGGGCAUACUGACCAAUGAAACCAAAUGCUUAAGAUGUGAGACAGUAACUGCAAGGGACGAAACUUUUUUUGAUCUGAGUGUUGACAUUGAGCAGAAUAGUUCCAUUACAAGCUGCCUGAAAAAUUUCAGCUCCACUGAGACUUUAAAUGCUGAGGACAAAUUCUUCUGUGACAAAUGUUGCAGUUUGCAAGAAGCACAGAAGAGAAUGAAGAUCAAGAAGGCUCCCCAUAUAUUGGUGAUCCACCUAAAACGCUUUAAGUACAUUGAGCAGCUUGGGCGGUAUAAGAAGCUUUCGUAUCGGGUUGUCUUCCCCAUGGAGCUGAAGAUCAGCAGUACGUCUGAUGACGUGGAUACUGAAUACUCUCUCUUUGCUGUGGUGGUCCAUGUUGGAAGCGGCCCCAACCAUGGCCAUUAUGUAAGCCUCGUAAAAAGCCACAACCACUGGUUGUUCUUCGAUGAUGAAAACGUGGAGAUGGUUGAAGAGUCGACCCUGCAAACAUUCUUCGGUUCUUCGCACGAAUACUCGGGCAACACAGAUCAUGGAUACAUCUUGUUUUACGAGGGCCUUGGUGGGAAGUGUUUAGGUUGA